UACGUAGGGUGCGAGCGUUAAUCGGAAUUACUGGGCGUAAAGGGCGCGUAGGCGGUCUUGUAAGUCUCGUGUGAAAUCCCUCGGCUUAACUGAGGAACUGCACGGGAUACUGCUUGACUUGAGUCCGGGAGAGGGAAGCGGAAUUCCGGGUGUAGCGGUGAAAUGCGUAGAUAUCCGGAGGAACACCGGUGGCGAAGGCGGCUUCCUGGACCGACACUGACGCUGAGGCGCGAAAGCUAGGGGAGCAAACGGG
rnacentral:rRNA from 1 species